ensembl:lncRNA
GGCUAAAUGGCUGAUGAACAGCUUUUCUGUGAUUGUAAAUAAAAAAGCAAUUUUGCUCAAUGGUGGGCCUACUUAAGCAAAGCAAACUUGCUUGAGUGCUGCUCUAUAGGGGUCAGAUCAUUUAGAAAAUGCAAUGUUGGUGAGAAUUGAGGUCAUCAUUGUGUUGAGUACCAGCACUCAUAAAACAGAGCUGAAACUACAGAUUUUAGGUAGCUACAGAUUCCACUAAUCAUCUCCACCAACAACCUUAUGCCAUGGUUGUUUUUGUUAAUGUUGCAGAGCAACAGAAUAAUUCAAUUCAAGUGAGCACCCAGAAGUCGUCUUGCUUAUCUGAACUACAGCUGCAUCUGCAAAACUGGACUGGAAAUAUGGAGAGGACAUGCUCUUCAUUAGAUUUCUAAUGUUUCCCUUUUCUAGUCAGGCUGGACUAAUGAGAGCAUCCUGCCCUUGUCCCUGGUUCCAGCCAGAGCCAAAAAGUGAAAUGCAUGUGAAAAAGAAACGGGUAUGUGGAGCAAUAAUAAAGUCCCUCUUGCCACAUCUGAAAAAUGUCAUCUUGGAUUUCAUGAAAGAGCCACUGUAGGCAUGCUGGAGAUUGUAAUGAAGGUCUGCUGCAACUGAAAUCCUGAAGAUUAACUGGGAUAUUAGUGUAAAAUCAAACUGACAUUGAUUAGUAACUGCAGCAUCUGGAGUAAGUUGGACUCAGAGCAAGCAGGUUUGUUUGGUAUUCUACCAGUGUUACAAGUGCCAGGAUGCAUUUUUCAGUCCUGUAGAGAAAGAAAUGCCUUGAUGAAGUCAGAGAGUUUGUCUUUAGGAAGCUUUGGGCCAGAAAGCUGAAUUUGAAUGAUUUCUGCCUAAUUUGAAUCUGGCUAUUUAAAUACAAAAAAAUCCAGCUGCACUACUGCAGCUUGCUCUGUAACACUUGGCCUGCUGCUUUUAGCAGCAUUUUACAAUAUUUGGUUCUCCCUCCAAAGUUUCUCAAAAUGCUUCUGGAUAGAACAGAAUGUGCAUAUAGAAUGCAUUAAUGCACCAAAUUCUAUUUUAAAUGUAUAUAGCACAACUGCUGCACAAAUUACGUUGUUAAUGCUAAACAAUGCCAGGCAGAGUGACUCCCAGCAAGUCCCCUUGUAGCGGUUUUGGCUCUGUAUUGGGGACAACUCCCCAGGUACCUUGCUAUGUCAUGUUUGUCAGAAUCUCUAAGAAGUGCAGCUACUAACAGUAAAGAUUAGUUCUUACAAAACACAGUUUAAAUCUGCACGUACCACAUCCUACAAAAGCUACUAGAACCUUUUAAAGACUUUUUUUUUUUUUUUUCAUGGAGAGCUACAAAAACAAAAGCCAUCUGCAGUGUUGGGGUUAGACCUGAAAGCAGCCCCAGACUGGCUCGCAUCCUCCUGUGGAAGGUAAGGCUCAGGUACAGCAUACAAACCAGUCCUUAGGCGCCAAGUCCUCCACUCAGUACCACAUGCUGCACAGAGCCUAAUGCAUCAGUAAGAGUAACAUUUGUGGUUCUUAAUUUGUGAGCCAAGAGCUCCACUUCCCAGAAAUGCUAUGCAAUCACUAUGGGGAUGAAACAAAUGAGAUUACUUCACUGGCAUCGGUUGGUAUACCCACAGCAUAUACUGUUAGAUUUCUCUCUAUAAAAGAAAGUCAGUCCACAGCUAUUUGUGGUCUUUAGAGAGGAAAAGUGGGAAUUAUAUAUUAUAUGUUGUUUUCUAUUGGUUUUGUUUUAAGGCCAAGAGAGGCCGUUAUAAUAAUUUAAUUAGAUCUUCUGCACAAUUCAAGCCAAAGAAUACAGCCACUAAUAGUGGCAUCAAACUGAGCUUCUGUUUGGGUUGUGUUUUAGAAAGACAUCCAGAAAAAAUGAUAUGUUUUUGGUAAUGGCUUGCCAUCUGGAACUGGGAGGACAGCACAGACAGCAUGUGUUAGUGGGGAAUAGAUUAAAGGAAUAGUUUAAACUACUUUUUUUUUUUUUUUAAUUCUGAACUUUGAAAUAUAUUUAGACUUAGACAGGCAAGUAAUUGUUUUAAAAAUGAGCUGAGUGCUACAUUUAUAAACAAAAUGAUUUUGGGGCGAUGUGGAUCUAGGGAGGCCUGUUUUACAGAGGUACCUUUCAAAGGGUGUGCCU